UAGGGAAUCUUCCGCAAUGGACGCAAGUCUGACGGAGCAACGCCGCGUGAGUGAAGAAGGAUUUCGGUUCGUAAAACUCUGUUGUUAGAGAAGAACAGCGCAUAGAGUAACUGUUAUGCGUGUGACGGUAUCUAACCAGAAAGCCACGGCUAACUACGUGCCAGCAGCCGCGGUAAUACGUAGGUGGCAAGCGUUGUCCGGAUUUAUUGGGCGUAAAGCGAGCGCAGGCGGUCAAUUAAGUCAGAUGUGAAAGCCCCCGGCUCAACCGGGGAGGGUCAUUGGAAACUGGUUGACUUGAGUGCAGAAGAGGAGAGUGGAAGUCCAUGUGUAGCGGUGAAAUGCGUAGAUAUAUGGAGGAACACCAGUGGCGAAGGCGACUCUCUGGUCUGUAACUGACGCUGAGGUUCGAAAGCGUGGGUAGCAAACAGG
rnacentral:rRNA from 1 species